UGUGUGUGUACAUAUAUGUGUAUAUAUAUCAUAUACACACACACACACAUACACAUGCACGCACAUGCACACACA
rnacentral:miRNA from 1 species